rnacentral:rRNA from 1 species
AUUGAACGCUGGCGGCAGGCCUAACACAUGCAAGUCGAGCGAGCGGCGGACGGGUGAGUAAUGUCUGGGAAACUGCCUGCUGGAGGGGGAUAACUACUGGAAACGGUAGCUAAUACCGCAUACCAUCAGAUGUGCCCAGAUGGGAUUAGCUAGUAGGUGGGGUAACGGCUCACCUAGGCGACGAUCCCUAGCUGGUCUGAGAGGAUGACCAGCCACACUGGAACGGAGACAGGGUCCAGACUCCUACGGGAGGCAGAAGUGGGGAAUAUUGCACAAUGGGCGCAAGCCUGAUGCAGCCAGGCCGCGUGUGUGAAGAAGGCCUUGGGGUUGUAAAGAACUUUCAGCGGGGAGGCGUUACUCGAAGAAGAAGCACCGGCUAACUCCGUGCCAGCAGCCGCGGUAAUAC